AGUGGCGGACGGGUGAGUAAUGCAUAGGAAUCUGCCCAGUAGCGGGGGACAACUUAGGGAAACUUAAGCUAAUACCGCAUACGCCCUACGGGGGAAAGCAGGGGAUCUUCGGACCUUGCACUAUUGGAUGAGCCUAUGUCUGAUUAGCUAGUUGGUAGGGUAAAAGCCUACCAAGGCGACGAUCAGUAGCUGGUCUGAGAGGACGACCAGCCACACUGGGACUGAGACACGGCCCAGACUCCUACGGGAGGCAGCAGUGGGGAAUAUUGGACAAUGGGGGCAACCCUGAUCCAGCAAUGCCGCGUGUGUGAAGAAGGCCUGCGGGUUGUAAAGCACUUUUAGUGGGGACGGAAACUUGCAGGUUAAUAACCUGUGAGCCUGACUUAACCCACAGAAAAAGCACCGGCUAACUCUGUGCCAGCAGCCGCGGUAAUACAGAGGGUGCGAGCGUUUAUCGGAAUUACUGGGCGUAAAGGAUGCGUAGGUGGUUCGAUAAGUCAGUUGUGAAAUCCCUGGGCUUAACCUGGGAAUUGCAUUUGAUACUGUCAAGCUAGAGUGUGGUAGAGGUAAGCGGAAUUCNCGGUGUAGCGGUGAAAUGCGUAGAUAUCGGGAGGAACAUCAGUGGCGAAGGCGGCUUACUGGACCAACACUGACACUGAGGCACGAAAGCGUGGGUAGCAAACAGGAUUAGAUACCCUGGUAGUCCACGCCCUAAACGAUGUCGACUAGC
rnacentral:rRNA from 1 species